UACGUAGGGUGCGAGCGUUGUCCGGAAUUAUUGGGCGUAAAGGGCUCGUAGGCGGUUCGUCGCGUCGGGAGUGAAAUCCACUGGCUUAACUGGUGGCUUGCUUUCGAUACGGGCAGACUGGAGGUAUGCAGGGGAAGACGGAAUUCCUGGUGUAGCGGUGAAAUGCGUCGAUAUCAGGAGGAACACCUGCGGUGUAGACGGCUUUCUGGACCAUUGUUGACGCUGAGACACGAAAGACGUGGGUAGGCAAACAGG
rnacentral:rRNA from 1 species